rnacentral:rRNA from 1 species
ACGAAACUGCGAAUGGCUCAUUAUAACAGUAACAAUUUAUUUGGCAGAAAAUUUACACGGAUAACCGUAGUAACACCACGGCUAAUACGUGACCAAUCCUUCUUCCCCCUUAAAAAGGGUAAGAGGGGUGCUUAUUAGCUAAAUCAAUGCAUAGUUGAAUCAUAAUAGCUCAAGAUCGCGUGGGUUUACCAGCGACAUGCCAUUCAAGUCACUGCCCUAUCAUGCUUUCGACGGUAGGUUAUUGGCCUACCGUGGCGUUGACGGGUAACGGGGAAUCAAGGUUCGAUUCCGGAGAGGCAGCCUGAGAAACGGCUACCACAUCCACGGAAGGCAGCAGGCGCGCAAAUUACCCAAUUUUGACACAAAGAGGUAGUGACAAGAAAUAACGGUAGGCAACACCUAGUGUUGCUUCUCCGGAAUGAGAGCAAUUCAAAACACUCAUCGAGUAGCAAGUGGAGGGCAAGCCUGGUGCCAGCAGCCGCGGUAAUACCAGCUCCGCUAGCGUAUACUAAAAUUGUUGCUGUUAAAAAGCUCGUAGUUGGAUAUCAGCCUUGGCAUAUUGGCCCAGUUCACGUUGAACUUGGUGGCCUCUUGUUCGGUGUUCCGCAUCGGAUGAUAUUUGCCAAGGUUUACUUCACGAAAAGCGCCCUGUCCAUUAACCUGAAUGGGGCGCUUGUUACUGAUCAUUUACUUUGAACAAAUUAGAGCGCUCAAAGCAGGUUACUGCCUGUAUGCAUAUUCAUGGAAUAUUAAUAGACGACAUUUGGCCCCUCUUUACUUUAUAGUAAAGGGGUAUUAUUGGUUUGAGCCAGUGUAAUGAUUGAUAGAAAUGAUUUUGGGGGUGCUAGUAUCGCCGGGCCAGAGGUAAAAUUCUAUGAUUCCGGUGAGACUAACUAAUGCGAAAGCAUUCACCAAGGGCAUAUUCUUUAAUCAAGAACUAAAGUUUGGGGAUCGAAGACGAUCAGAUACCGUCGUAGUCCAAACUAUAAACCAUGUCGACUAAGCGUUGGAGAGCAAACACUCCCCAGAACUUAAUGAGAAAUCAAAGUUUUUGGACUCAGGGGGAAGUAUGCUCGCAAGGGUUAAACUUAAAGGAAUUGACGGAAUUGCACCACAAGGUGUGGAGCCUGCGGCUUAAUUUGACUAAACACGGGAAAACUUACCAGGACCAGACAUAGUAAUGAUUGACAGAUUAAAGUUCUUUCAUGAUUCUAUGCGUGGUGGUGCAUGGCCGUUCUUAGUGCGUGGUGCGAAUCGGCAGGUUAAUUCCGAUAACGAACGAGACCUCAUCUGUUUAACUAGCUCUGGCUCACUUGCAUUUUUGUGCAUUUCAGCCGUUGGUACUUUUUUUCGGAAGAGUACCUGAAGAGCUUCUUAAAGGGACAAUUUGCGCUUAGCAAACGGAAGAUUGAGGCAAUAACAGGUCAGUGAUGCCCUUAGAUGCUCUGGGCUGCACGCGCGCUACAAUGGUUCAUUCAGCGAGUGCCGAGCUUGUGAAAGCGAGGUAAUCUCUAAAGUGGAUCAUAGUUGGGAUAGAUGAUUGCAAUUCUUCAUCUUGAACGGGGAAUAUCUAGUAAACGCAGGUCAUCAACCUGCAUUGACUACGUCCCUGCAAU